rnacentral:tRNA from 1 species
CGACCAGUGGCGGUGCGGUCAAACGCAUCUACGUAUCAGGAGACUGUCAUGGGUUCGAAUCCCAUCUGGUUGG